rnacentral:lncRNA from 1 species
GGCAUGUUUGUUUGGGUGGAAAUGGGGUGGAAGUGGAGAGGAAGGAAGUCAUUUUCACCUUAAACGACCACUUCCGUUGUUUGGUUCACCGUAAAAAAGUCAUGGUCAAAAUUCGAGUUAAUCUCAAACGGCAUAAUUGACUUCGGUCUAUCGUGGACUAAGUCAAUUAUGGUGAAGAUAGGUGAAAAAAAUAAUAAAAUAAUAUACUAGAUAAAAAUAGUUAUAUUUAAAUAUAUUUAAUUAUGUUACUAAUUACUCUUUUUCUCAGUUGACAUAUUUAAAAUAUGAUAAAAAUUGAUUAGUUAAGUUUUAAUAUUUUCUUUAUUUAUUUUGUACAAUUAAAAUAUAAUAAAAAUUGAUUAAUUAAGUAUAAAUUUUUUUUGCUUUAUAAUUUUAUUGUUGUAUUACUAUAAUUUAUGUAAAAAAAUUAAUUGAGUUAUUUUAAAUUAAAUUUUAAUUAUAUAAAAAUAUAAUUAUAUUAUUUUUAUUUGGUAAAAUAUUUUUUUAUACAUAAAUUUUAGCUUUAUAUCAUACACUCAUAUCAAACAAACAACAGAACUAAUGAAACUUCACUUCCAUAACUACAAAACAAACAGCGGGGAAGAGAUAGUUUUCACCGAACUCUUCAACCCAAAGUUCACUUCAAUCUAAAAUCCAGUUUCG